rnacentral:rRNA from 1 species
UACGGGAGGCAGCAGUGGGGAAUAUUGCACAAUGGGCGAAAGCCUGAUGCAGCUAUGCCGCGUGUAUGAGGAAGGCCUUAGGGUUGUAAAGUACUUUCAUCGGGGAGGAAAAAACAAAACUAAUAAUUUUAUUUCUUGACGUUACCCGAAAAAGAAGCACCGGCUAACUCCGUGCCAGCAGCCGCGGUAAUACGGAGGGUGCUAGCGUUAAUCAGAAUUACUGGGCGUAAAGAGCACGUAGGUGGUUUUUUUAAAGUCAGAUGUGAAUCCCUGGGCUUAACCUAGGAACUGCAUUUUGAAACUGAAAUACUAGAGUAUCGUAGAGGGAGGUAGAAUUCUAGGUGUAGCGGUGAAAUGCGUAGAUAUCUGGAGGAAUACCUGUGGCGAAAGCGGCCUCCUAAACGAAUACUGACACUGAGGUGCGAAAGCGUGGGGAGCAAACAGGGAUUAGAUACCCGU